UACGGGGGGGGCAAGCGUUGUUCGGAAUUACUGGGCGUAAAGGGCUCGUAGGUGGCCAACUAAGUCAGACGUGAAAAUCCCUCGGCUUAACCGGGGAACCUGCGUCUGAUACUGGAUGGCUUGAGUUUGGGAGAGGGACGCGGAAUUCCAGGUGUAGCGGUGAAAUGCGUAGAUAUCAAGAGGAACACCUGAGGUGAAGACGGGUUGCUGGGCCAACACUGACGCUGAUGCGACGAAAGCCAGGGGAGGCAAACGGG
rnacentral:rRNA from 1 species